rnacentral:rRNA from 1 species
UACGUAGGGUGCGAGCGUUAAUCGGAAUUACUGGGCGUAAAGUGUGCGCAGGUGGCCGCACAAGUCGAGUGUGAAAUCCCCGGGCUUAACUUGGGAAUUGCGCUCGAAACUACGUGGCUCGAGUGUGGCAGAGGAAGGUGGAAUACUUGGUGUAGAGGUGAAAUUCGUAGAUAUCAAGUGGAACACCGGUGGCGAAGGCGGCCUUCUGGACAGUGACUGACGCUGAGACGCGAAAGCGUGGGGAGCAAACAGG